UUGUAGAAUGGAAGCCCAAGGUGG
rnacentral:piRNA from 1 species